rnacentral:misc_RNA from 1 species
ACCAAACAAGAGAAGAAACUUGCUUGGUAAUAUAAAUUUAACUUUAAAUUAACUU